rnacentral:tRNA from 2 species
GCGGGGAUAGCUCAGUUGGGAGAGUGUCAGACUGAAGAUCUAACGGUCGUUUGUUUGAUCCAAGCUCACCGCA